UACGUAGGGUGCAAGCGUUGUCCGGAAUUAUUGGGCGUAAAGAGCUCGUAGGCGGUCUGUCGCGUCUGCUGUGAAAACUCGGGGCUUAACCCCGGCCUGCAGUGGGUACGGGCAGACUAGAGUGCGGUAGGGGAGAUUGGAAUUCCUGGUGUAGCGGUGGAAUGCGCAGAUAUCAGGAGGAACACCGGUGGCGAAGGCGGGUCUCUGGGCCGAUACUGACGCUGAGGAGCGAAAGCGUGGGGAGCGAACAGG
rnacentral:rRNA from 1 species